CUAUAUGUAAUGCAAGUGCAGAACCCUAUAGUCAGGAUUUCUGUAUGAAGAGCAGAACCCUAUAGUUAGGAUCUCUAUAUGAAGUUCAGAAAUGCAGCAGGCUGUGAUUAUAUGGAUAAAUACCUAAAAUCAUGAAGUCCACCUGUAUGCAUACAUGAGUGACCUUUCCCUUUUUAUUAAAACCCCAUAUGUUAUUACAAACUAUUACAACCAGAAUGAAUCAAAAAAAGGUCAAAUUACAUAAAAAAUUUAAGCUACAACCAAGCAACCUAAUUCAGACUCGAGACUAACAAUAUGAGAUGAACCAACUUCCAGGAUCAGAUUUCCAAAGCUUUUCUCUUAUUAAGGAUGUAACAAAGUUCCCUAAGAGUCUCAAGUGAACUCCGGGCAGUGCUUACACCCCAAAUAUAUUACAGAAUUAAGAUAGUUCAGUGUGGAAGAGCCAACCUUCAAAUAUCCAAGUUCAGAGGGAACUCAAGGUCCCAAAGCAAGGCUCAUAGGAGGGGCAGAACUUCGAAUCUAAGAGACAGUGCAAGUGCAUAGAGGGGAUUUAGGGGGAAAGCCAUGGCAGGCUGGUGGUCAUGCCCCACAAUUAGGAGUGCUUGCACACCCUUGAUCAGCAUGUUAGCCAUAUUUAUUGGGACUUAGUCCAUUAAGGAUCAGGUCCAGACAUGAGCAACAAUUUGGAUACUGCCAUGCCUGAAACUUAACUCAAACGCAUAGAAGGGAGUAGGGAGUAAUGGGUUCACAAUAGAAACAGAUGCAAGAAAAGAACAUGCAUAGUUAAUUUUAGUCACUGAUCAUGGAUAGUAAAGCAAAUAGGAUUGCAGAAGCUGUAAAUAAACGUAUUGGGAUGAUGGAUGAAACUAAAUCACAACAUACUAGUUUCAUAAAAUAAAAAGAGAAAAAGCAGAAGUCUUGUAAACCAAAUUGCAAGCAAGCAGUCCAAGAGAUCUCAGAAGAGAGUAUUGGAAGAGUAUUGUAAUAGAGAGGUGUGUGUGUGUAAAAGUAUUGAAUUCGAAGCGUGUCCAAAGUACAGAAGGGUAGUCUCCUUUUAUAGUACAAAAGUCAAGUAAGAAAAGGUAAGAAAAUAGUUCUGCAAUCAAUCACAUAAAGUUUCUCUUUAGUUAAGGGAUUCUGAUUUCAAAUGGAUAGAAGACAAUUAAGGAAAGAAUUGGAUUAAAAUCUUUUCCAAAGUAAAACAAGAAGGGUAAAUGCACAAGGUUUAUUUAAGGAAAAAGUCCAAUGGUAAAGGUUUAUAAAAAAUAAGGAAAGAGAAUCACUCAAAUAGCCAUUAAGAUCAAAAUUGCAGGCUUUGUUCGAAUGAAUUAAGUCAGGAAAAGGUAAAGAAGGAUCAAUUAAAUAAAAUUAGUAACAAUCAGUCAAGCCUAUUAAAAGGGAUUCAGAAUCAAUCAAUAGUUGGCAAAACCUUUUUUGAACAAAGAAUUUCUCAUAUAUAAAGCACACAAAUAUGUGAAUCAAGAAGGAACUGUCAUGUUACCUAAAAACGAUUCUAGCAUAGAAAGGUUUAGAAUCACAAGCAAAGGGAUGCAAGUUUGUAGACUUAGAAUGAGUAUGAGAGUUCAGGGUCCCAAAGUAGAACCCUAACCUGAACACAAAAUCAAACUUUCCAAGGAAAACCUGAAAUCCUAGGGUUUCAAUCUUGAAUCAGACACAGAGUUGAGAAGGUACGCCAUUGAAACAGACUCAGAGGUCUCUUUCAAAGACUCAUGAGAAACCAACAGACGUGAUAGCAGGUUUGAAGCAACAAAGAGAAAAGGUUUAUUUAAAGGCAUAGAUAACAUGUUUAAGAAACGUUCGGGAUUUAAACAAGUUUAGAAGAGAGAAUCUGUGUGAUAUAAACUUAAAACAAUAAAGGAAGCAUGCUUAGAACUCAAAUAAAAGUCCAGUAACGCAAAUACAACUUAAGAACUCUGCAAGAAACACGUACAGUAGAAAAAUACUGGAAAGUAUAGCAAAGAACAUAACAAAGAUUAACAUGCAAAUCUAGUCUAUAGGCACAGUAGAGUACAAAGGUACAGAAGAGUUAUGUAUAGUGGAAAGAAAACAGAAGAACAACACAUGUGUGGUAGAAAAGAAAACAUACGACCAUAAUAUAGACAAACACUCAUAAAAAAAAAAGAAAAUAAAGAAUUAGAAAGAUGUUUUGAAAACCUAUCAAAACCAAUAAAUCGAAGACAAACGAUUUUGAAAGGAAAAUAUGGGGAAAACACUUUAAAAGUCAAGUAAAGAAUAGAUACAACAUAGAUCUAAAACAGAGAAAAACCUUAAAUAGCUUAGGGUUUCAGAGAACCCUAGAAAUGAGAAAGGCUUGGAAGAAAGUAUGAUCUCGAGUCGGAUGAGUUAGAAUCAGGCUCCUAAUGCUUUGGAUACGUCGGAGCGGGCUGGAGCAGUCGUAAAACCAUAGAUCAGAGAAGAUAUGAAGGUGAACCAUCGAGGUCAGACUUCAAAGUUUCGAACACCUAAGGUUUAAUGAUGGAUAUGGGGUGAGUACAGGCCAUCCAUGGCCUGAGAAACCAUGGAUUCCGGUGGAGUGGUGGUUGAAAAGGGCAGGAGAUGACUAGGGUUCUGAAGAACCAUUGAGAGAGUUUGAAGACGAAGGGAUUUCAAAGGCGGCUAUCAGAAUAAAAAUGAGGGAUUUUGGUAGGUUGUUUGAGUUUAAUUAUGAAAGGGUAAAUAAUGGACAUUGAUCUGAAUGAUCAACGGUCGAGAUAUAAGAAGGUAGGUGAGGAACCGGGUAGGGUCAUUUGAAAUGGGUUAUAGGUUGGGUCAAAAAUCAAAAUUGGGCCGGUCCAGUUG
rnacentral:lncRNA from 1 species